AGUGAACGCUGGCGGUAGGCCUAACACAUGCAAGUCGAACGGCAGCACAGGAGAGCUUGCUCUCUGGGUGGCGAGUGGCGGACGGGUGAGGAAUACAUCGGAAUCUGCCCAGUCGUGGGGGAUAACGUAGGGAAACUUACGCUAAUACCGCAUACGACCUUCGGGUGAAAGAGGGGGAUCGCAAGACCUCUCGCGAUUGGAUGAGCCGAUGUCGGAUUAGCUAGUUGGCGGGGUAAUGGCCCACCAAGGCGACGAUCCGUAGCUGGUCUGAGAGGAUGAUCAGCCACACUGGAACUGAGACACGGUCCAGACUCCUACGGGAGGCAGCAGUGGGGAAUAUUGGACAAUGGGCGCAAGCCUGAUCCAGCCAUACCGCGUGGGUGAAGAAGGCCUUCGGGUUGUAAAGCCCUUUUGUUGGGAAAGAAAUCUUUCAGGCUAAUACCCUGGGAGGAUGACGGUACCUAAAGAAUAAGCACCGGCUAACUUCGUG
rnacentral:rRNA from 1 species